rnacentral:lncRNA from 1 species
GAUUGAAGCAAUAAAGGAAGAAGAGGUGAGAAGCCAUGAAGAUGGAGCUCAAAAAGGGUCAAAGAGGCAUCAAAAAGGAAGAAAACUCGAAGCCCGAGCGAGUCCAGGCAAGAAGAACGAAGAAUUUACGAGCUGGAAUUCAUCGCUCGUCGCCUGGGCGACGGAGACGGAGCCGACACCCGGGUGACAGACGUUCGUAGCCUGGGCGAGGAAAAUUGACUCCCAAGCUCAACAUGAGCCUUGAUUCACGCUUGGGCGAGCUCCCUACGACGCUUGAGCAUGAAUUCACCUGGAUCGGGCCCUGUUUUUGCUCUGAUUUGAUUCUUUUGGACUAGGCCGCACUCUGGGACACGCCUAACACUAUUUAAAGGACCCUAGGGCUCUAGGUUUUGCAUCCCCUGGUAGAGAAGAGCACUCCAAUACACUCUUAGCCAGUUCUAGAUAUUCCAUCUUCUUCUUUUCUUCCAUUAUUCAUAGGUUCCCCCAUGUCUAUGGGGAACUAAUUUUUAUUUGUUGGUUGGGAAUGAUGUAACCUUGUGAACUCUCAUGUAUUUGAAUUGAUUCUUAAUUUCAUAUGCUUUUUCCAUUAAUUGUUAGAGUGAUUCAUCUGUUUUAUUCUUGCUUAUACAAUAACAUUAUCUUUGAUUUGCAUGAGUGUUGGGAGGUUGCUUGUAUUUGAGGUCCUUGUUGAAUUACUCCUGAGGGUUAUAUUGCUCAGGAUUGAGGGUAUGAGUCUUAGUCGUCUUAACCUCUUGAUCUUCACAUCUUUUUACUAGGAUUGCUAGGAAUUGCAUAAACUGGUAAUCAGGGAAAGACUUAUUCACCAAUGGAUUGGGUUUAAGUGUUUUAGUGAGGGACGUUAACAUUAAUGCAUAAAAAGAGAAAUUCUUAUAUGCAUGAGAGUGAACUUGGUGAAAUCAAACCCCAACAGCAUAAUCAUGUCAUACUAAAACAACCUCCAUUCAUCUUUGUCCUCCUUUGCCAGUGAUCAAUUUUACUUUGCUUUAUUUUAUUAUUAUUGCAAUCAACACCAUUGAUCUCUGUUAUUUUCACUCUUAAUUAAUCUUGUUUUUUCACACAACUAUUCAACGCCGAGAGUCCUCUGGGAUACGAUACUUGGUUUUACCAUUUUAUAUCACUUGUACGACUCGGUACACUUGCCAAUUUGCCCCAACAAGUUUUUAGUGCCGUUGUCGGGGAACUCACGGUUUAAGCUAAGCUAUUUGUGUGAAUCUUGAUUAAUUUUGACUUUAUUUUAUUUUAUUUUAUUACAUCAAAUAUUUCCCCUUUUUAUUUUUAUUUUUAUUUCUAUUUUUCAAAUCCCCUAUUUCCAUUUUUGUUUUAUUUCAUUCGAUUCUAUUUUGUGCUAACAAUAUCUUCAAGAUUUUGUGUCUGUUUAUGCAGGAUUAUACCCGGAGCAGAAACUCUGAACCUCUUCUUAAAGGACUUGAGACCAGCAGAAGGCCAAGGACAUCAGCUAAAAAACCUUCUCUAGAAAACAACAAUAUGGCUUCCCAAAAAGUUAAUUGGCAAAACCGUGCUAGACACACCUUGACAGACUACACAACAGUGGGUGGCCCUCAUCACUUUAACAGCAUUGCAAAGCCAAUAGUCAAUGCUGCAAAUAUGGAGAUGAAGCCUGCUCUGAUCCACCUUGUAAAGAGCAAUCAAUUCAACGGACUGUCUCAUGAAAGCCCAUAUGAGCACUUGACAACCUUUGAUGAGAUCUGCAACACUGUGAAGAUGAAUGGGGUUCUUGAUGAGGCUAUAAAACUGAGCAUGUUCCCCUUCUCUCUUGGAGGUAGUGCUAAAUUAUGAUUGAACUUUUUUCCUGAAAACAGACUCACUGAAUGGGAAGAUGUGGUAGCAAAAUUUAUCAACAAAUACUUUCCCCCAUCAAAGAUCAAUAAAAGGAAGCAAGAAAUCUCUUCUUUUAGACAAGGCAUGGAGGAAACCUUGGGGCAGGCAUGGGACAGAUACAAAAGCCUAUUGAGAAAGACACCUGUUAAUGGUUUUGAUGAAGGAACAAUGGUUAUUCUCUUUCUUGGAGGCCUUGGGUCACAAACCAAAUUAAUGUUAGAUGCCUUAGCUGGGGGCAAUAUCAAAUGCAAGACUCCUGAUGAGGCCUAUGAAUUAAUUGAGAACAUCGCUGCCAAUGACAAUGAGAUGCAUAAUGAAAGAAGGGCGUCUGCCCAACCUAAAGGAGUUUUUCAAUUACAGCCUUAUGAUUGUCAGAGCGGCUGCAGCGGAAUGGUUAGCGUGGAAUAUCAAACCAAGAGGGUUUUUAAUUCAAAUGCGUGCCUUUUAAUUUCUUCUCAAUUAAACUUACUAUGCAAAUAAUAAAUAUAAAUGAAAGAGUAAGGUUGACAGAAAUUUGCACAAAUGAAUUUUAUACUGGUUUGGAUCUUACCAAUCCUACGUCCAGUCGCUUAUCUCAAACCAAGAUAAACAGUUCACUAAUCACAAAACAAUUACAAAUUACAAUCACAAAGAAACAAUUUGUAAAAGUUUAGAAACCACCUCUCUUGAUACCACAAGAGAUGAACCUGCACCUCCUUUGAGUCUUCACAAAGGAUGAGACACCUCCUCCGAAUACUUCACGAAGGAUGAUCCUCUUCCAAACACCUCCUUAGACGCACCAAGGAUGAACCGACUAUUUCCUCUGUCAUCGUAACAACACUUCACCAACUCUACAGACAAGAGUUUCACAAGCUGAACAAGAACACACCCUUCUCAAGAGUUUCUGAGUUCUUAAGCAUAAGGGAAGAGUUGCAUUUGCUUAAGAACCAGCUAUUUCCUCUUCCAAGCAAAUACUCUUCCGUUCUUCGAAAUUGACCAUUUAAUGCUUUUAAUCGAUUAAUACAAGUGUUAAUCGGUUAAAAUGAGUACAAUGGCUAGUUUUUCAAAUCUGAAACCUCCAACUGUCACUUUUAAUCGAUUAAAACGGUGCGAUUUUGACUCUUAACACUAAUUACAAUGUACGAAAGUAUAUGGAAUCAAAACCAAUGAAAAUCUAAGUCCUAAACAAUAAAUACAAUUAUUACAAAAGCUUUUAACAACAAAACAAGUCUUCAAAGGAUCUUCUUGAAUCUUCAUUUCUCUUGACUUGAUUUGGACAUCAUCAAAACUUCAUCUUCAUCAUUUUGCUAACAAUGAUGUCUUGCUUGCUCAAAAUAAAAUCAUCACUCAGCAAUUGGAGAUCAUGACCAAGAAGGUGAUGCAGCCAUAAAAAGAACAUCAAAAUGUGGCACAGGUUCAACAAGAACUUUGUGAGUUAUGUGGUGGCGACCAUAUUAAUGGUCAAUUUGCAGUGCCUGAGAAUAUUAAUGAAGAAGUUAACUACAUGGGCAAUCAAAACCAAUUUCGCUCCAACAACUACAACCAUGGGUGGAGAUCUCACCCAAGUAAUGGAGAAGGACAAUUUGGACAAACUGGUGGGCAAUAUUAUAAGCCACCAUAGCAGCAGCAGCAGUGGCAGCAACAAUCCUCUUUGCUAGAAAAAUCUGCACAACUCCAGGAAACUCUCAACCAGUUUAUGCAGGCUACUCAGUUUAACCAGAAAAACACAGAAGCGGCUAUCAGGAACCUGGAAACACAGAUGGGCCAGUUAAUUCAAACGGUCAAUCAAAUGCAGGAAAAGUCGUACAAAACUUUUGGGGCUAAUACUGAGGUUAACCCCAAAGAAGAAUGCAAGGUUAUAACAAGCAUGGAGGAUGAGAGAGAAAAAGAUAGGAGAGAAAAAGAAAAAAAAGGGGGAAAAGAAAAAGAAACAUUGAGUGAGGGUGAAAAAGAGGAAAAGAGUGAAACAAUUAUUUUGAGUGAAAAAGAAAAUUUGAGAGAGAGAGAAAGAAAAGGGUGAGAAAAAGGAAGAGGAGAGAAAAGAAAAACUUAUCAAGGACUCUAAAGAUUAGAAUACAAGAAAAAUACAAGCAGAGUGUCUUGAAGGAAUUUCAAAAAAAUUGGGGAUAGAAGUCCCUAUAACAGAAGCCCUGCAACAGAUCCCUGAAUAUAAGGAAUUUUUGAACUAGCUCCUCAGAAAGAAAAAUUUAAAAGAGGAAACAAAUGAAGAACAGGAGGAUUGCAGAAUGAUCUUACAGAAGACUCUUCCCCCAAAAGAAGGAGACCCAGGAAGUUUCACCAUUCCUUGCAACAUUGGGGAGCAUAAUAUUGGGAAAGCCUUGAUUGAUUUGGGGUACAACAUUAAAUUAAUGCCCCUGACUUUUCUUAAAAACAUGGGAGAAAUAGAAGUAAAGCCAACAAAGAUGUCUCUCCUUAUGGCAAAUGGAUCCCCUAAAAGGCCCUAUGGCAUACUAGAAAAUAUAAAGUUGUAAGUUGACAACCUGAUGUUCCUGGUAGACUUUGUCAUUCUAGAGAUGGAAGAAAAUGCAGAGAUUCCUAUCAUUCUUGGAAGGUCGUUCCUGAAGACGGCCAAAGUAAUUAUCAAUGUUGAUGAGGGAACCAUAGCCCUCAAAGAUCAAGAAGAGAAAGUGAUCCUGAGUGCCUGUAAGACAGGGCGGCAGAUUGAAGAGAAGAAAACCAUGCCCAAAGGUGCAUUAAAAGAUGCACCCGGGAAAGGUACCAGAACCACCAAACCCAGAAAAAAAGGAAAAAAAUAUUUUCUAUCACAGGUACCUAAGGAAGAAGAAGAUAGCAAAGGAAAAAGUGCUCAUCAAAGUCCUUUAAAGAAUCAGGAAGGACUGAGACCAGGCCUCCCUAUGCAAUUCAACAAGAAGCUUUGGGUAAUAAAAGAUUUCACAACAGAUGGACUGAUAGAGAUUGAAGCUCCUACUUCUAGGAGAACAAAAAGGGUGAAUAGAAAAAUGUUAAAGAUCAGCUGGCAGGCCAAGGGAAAGGAUGACAUCUCCACAAUCAUGCAGCUGAUUGAUGUGACAUGAGCUUAUUGGGUCAAGCUAGUGACAUUAAAGAAGCGCUUGCUGGGAGGCAACCCAGUGCUCUGAACCUUUACUUUUUAAUUUUUGUUAUUUAUUUUAAUUUUUAAUGUGUGUUUUCUUUUAAUUUCUAUAUGCUCUGCUUGAAUGAACUAAACCGCUUUGAUUCACCUGUGGUCUAUUUUGUGUGAAGAUCUUGUUUUUCUUGAAAAUUUUAGUAUUUGAUUGAGGUUGAGAUGAUGCAUGAUAAAUUUGUGAGACAGGUGCUUGAAAUAAAGUUUGAUUAAAAUACUGAGCAGGAUGUUUUUCUAAAUUUGAGAAAUUGUGAGAUUACCUGUGUGAGUUUUGAGCUUCAGAGUUGUUUUUAAAUAAUUGUUAUUACUUUCGAAGCAUGAAUGGUUUUGCACAAAUUUUCUAUGAUUGAACUACUUGCUUGCAGGUUCCAUAUGAUCAAGGCCAUGUUUUGUUAUCCCUUAUUCUUUUGGCCUCCAAAAUAGUUUUGCCCACUGAAAAGAGAACAAUUUUUUCUAACCUUUGAACCCUAAGCCUAAUAAAUUAUGAAAAACCUUUUUGAAAAUUUGUUUACCUUGAGUUAAGGUGAGAACAUUUGAUGAGGUACUAAUAAAGGUUCAAGUUUGGGGUACCAAGAAGUAGACCACCUCUCUAGGCAGUGAGCGAAAAGGAAAAGAAAAAGCAGGAAAAAGGCAAAAGAAAAGAAAAAGUGAGAAAAGAAAAAUUCCAAAGGAAAAAGAAAGAGCUCACUGCAAGGGAAGGCUGGGAAAAAGAUAAGAGAGUUGUUCUUAAAAGAAGAUCUCGCAAAUGCCUCUCUUAACUCAAGGAGCUUUGCUGACCAGAAAAACCAAUUUCCUUCUUAGCCCAGCCAAGUUACAAGCCAUGAAAAGCCCUUGUGAUGACAACCUAUUUGUGAGUAUGUUUGAUUAUGGUUAAAUAAAAGGCAAAAUUAAUUUGUGUGACAUUGUGAUAACAGAGAGAAACACCACACCAUACACCUGUGAAUUGAGUGAGACACUUAUGAAUGCUUGAGGGAUAUAUUUGAGUGCUUGAGUGAAACACUUUCCCUGGUGAGGAAUAAUUCUCUGAAUUUUUGAUUGCAUCUUUGCUUCGUUUAUUAUCAUUCUUAAGGAUAAUACCUGUUUAAUGCAUUGAAACAUCUACACAUCUUGACUGAGAUCUUAUGCUGAACUUGAUGAGAGUAAAUUCUUGUCCUGAAAAGAUUUUUAAAAAGGUUGAGUCAUUGUAGUGAUGGUUCUGAAAAGCUGAGCUGCAUUUUGUUUGCUUGAGGACAACCAAAGUUCUAAGUUUGGGGUUAUGAUAACGAAAUAAAAUACCGUUAUUUGAUACAUGAUUUUGAUACUAAAAGCACCCUUUCGGUAAAUUGUGUGAAUAAGAGAGUUGAGGUUUAUUUUAACUGUUUUCUAACAAAUUCUCCUUGUUUUAAUAGAGAUUGAAGCAAUAAAGGAAGAAGAAGUGAGAAGCCAUGAAGAUGGAGCUCAAAAAGGGUCAAAGAGGCAUCAAAAAGGAAGAAAACCUACAGCUCGAGCGAGCCCAGGCGAGAAGAACGAAGAAUUUACGAGCUGGAAAUCACCGCUCGUCGCUCGGGUGACGGACCCAACACCCGGGCGACAGACGUUCGUAGCCUAGGCGAGGAAAACUGAUGCCCAAGCUCAACAUGAGCAUUGAUUCACGCUUGGGCGAGCUCCCUGCGACGCUUGAGCAUGAAUUCACCUGGAUCGGCCCUAUUUUUGCUUUGAUUUGAUUCUUUUGGACCGGGCCGCACUCUGGGACGCGCCUGACACUAUUUAAAGGACCCUGGGGCUCUAAAUUUUGCAUCCCCUAGCAGAGAAGAGCACUCCAAUACACUCUUAGCCAAUUCUAGAUCUUCCAUCUUCUUCUUCUCUUCCAUUAUUCAUAGGUUCCCCCAUGUCUAUGGGGAACUAAUUUCUAUUUGUUGUUGGGGAAUGAUGUAACCUUGUGAACUCUCAUGUAUUUGAAUUGAUUCUUAAUUUCAUAUGCUUUUUCCAUUAAUUGUU